UACGUAGGGUGCAAGCGUUAAUCGGAAUUACUGGGCGUAAAGCGUGCGUAGGCGGUUGCGCAAGACAGGUGUGAAAUCCCCGGGCUUAACCUGGGAAUUGCACUUGUGACUGUGCGGCUGGAGUGCGGCAGAGGGGGAUGGAAUUCCGCGUGUAGCAGUGAAAUGCGUAGAUAUGCGGAGGAACACCGAUGGCGAAGGCAGUCCCCUGGGCCUGCACUGACGCUCAUGCACGAAAGCGUGGGAGCAAACAGG
rnacentral:rRNA from 1 species